rnacentral:SRP_RNA from 2 species
UGAGCGGUCAGCGGGACCACCGGUUCGGCACCCCGUCAGGCCCGGGAGGGAGCAGCGGACCGGACACGGGGUGUCCGCUGACCGCUCAGCG